GGAUCUGCGGCGCAAUGGUAGCGCGUCGUCUGCCUUUAGAUCAGUGGUUGCGUGUUUGAUUCACGUUGGUUUCA